rnacentral:rRNA from 1 species
AUUGGAGUCUGCAACCCGACUCCANGAAGCUGGAUUCGCUAGUAAUCGCGCAUCAGCCACGGCGCGGUGAAUACGUUCCCGGGCCUUGUACACACCGCCCGUCAAGCCAUGGAAGCCGGGAGUGCCUGAAGUGCGUGAGCGCAAGCAGCGCCCUAAGGUAAAACCGGUGACUGGGGCUAAGUCGUAACAAGGUAUC